CCCUUCGCGGCCUAUCAGCUUGUUGGUGAGGUAAUGGCUCACCAAGGCGACGACGGGUAGUCGGCCUGAGAGGGCGACCGGCCACACUGGGACUGAGACACGGCCCAGACUCCUACGGGAGGCAGCAGUGGGGAAUAUUGCACAAUGGGCGAAAGCCUGAUGCAGCGACGCCGCGUGAGGGAUGACGGCCUUCGGGUUGUAAACCUCUUUCAGCAGGGAAGAAGCGAAAGUGACGGUACCUGCAGAAGAAGCGCCGGCUAACUACGUGCCAGCAGCCGCGGUAAUACGUAGGGCGCAAGCGUUGUCCGGAAUUAUUGGGCGUAAAGAGCUCGUAGGCGGCUUGUCGCGUCGGUUGUGAAAGCCCGGGGCUUAACCCCGGGUCUGCAGUCGAUACGGGCAGGCUAGAGUUCGGUAGGGGAGAUCGGAAUUCCUGGUGUAGCGGUGAAAUGCGCAGAUAUCAGGAGGAACACCGGUGGCGAAGGCGGAUCUCUGGGCCGAUACUGACGCUGAGGAGCGAAAGCGUGGGGAGCGAACAGGAUUAGAUACCCUGGUAGUCCACGCCGUAAACGGUGGACACUAGGUGUGGGCCACAUUCCACGUGGUCCGUGCCGCAGCUAACGCAUUAAGUGCCCCGCCUGGGGGAGUACGGAAGGGC
rnacentral:rRNA from 1 species